AUGGCAAAGCUCAUUUGCGAAUCUCUUGUAUUGGGGCUUUUUUCAAUAGCGUUGGUCAUGGCUUCAGCGGGAGCAAGAGUGGAUUUACAAGACAAUUCAGUUUAUAAAUGCAUUGCUGCAUGCGAUAGUAACUGUGUUCAAACGUGCAAUGCUAGGGGAUUUAGUAGUGGAGCUUGUUUCGCAAUGUUUUGUUGUUGUUUCAACAAUGAAAAGUAG